AGCAGCCGCGGUAAUUCCAGCUCCAAUAGCGUAUAUUAAAGUUGUUGCAGUUAAAAAGCUCGUAGUUGAAUUUCGGGGUUCUACCGUUGGUCGGGCUAUUGUCUGUACUGGCGUGUAGAAUUUCUACCUUCUGGGGAACUAUCAUGUUAUUAAUUUAGCGUGGUAGGAAACCAGGACCUUUACCUUGAAAAAAUUAGAGUGUUCAAAGCAGACUUAUGUCUGAAUACAUUAGCAUGGAAUAAUAAAAUAGGACGGUGGUCCUGUUUUGUUGGUUUCUGAAUCACCGUAAUGAUUAAUAGGGAUAGUUGGGGGCAUUAGUAUUCAAUUGUCAGAGGUGAAAUUCUUGGAUUUAUUGAAGACUAACUACUGCGAAAGCAUUUGCCAAGGAUGUUUUCAUUAAUCAAGAACGAAAGUUAGGGAUCGAAGACGAUCAGAUACCGUCGUAGUCUUAACCAUAAACUAUGCCGACUAGGGAUCGGAUGAUGUUAAUUUUUAUGUACUCAUUCGGCGCCGUUAACGG
rnacentral:rRNA from 1 species